GGUCGGUUAGUGUAGUUGGUUAUCACAUCGGAUUCUGAUUUCAGGUCUAGUUCUCGAGAUCUUUCACGGAAGCAUUCCGGUAACCGGGGUUCGAAUCCCCGACUGACCU
rfam:Pestalotiopsis fici W106-1 unplaced genomic scaffold PFICI_Scf_8, whole genome shotgun sequence.